AGUCACUGACAUUAGAUACCCGGGUAGUCCAGGGUGUAAACGCUGCAGACUUGGUGUUGGAAGCCCUUUGGGGGCAUUCAGUGCCGGAGAGAAGUUGUUAAGUCUGCUACUUGGGGAGUACGUCCGCAAGGAUGAAACUUAAAGGAAUUGGCGGGGGAGCACCGCAACGGGAGGAGCGUGCGGUUUAAUUGGAUUCAACGCCGAAAAACUCACCAGCAGCGACUGUUACAUGAAAGUCAGGUUGAUGACCUUACUAGAUUUUCAG
rnacentral:rRNA from 1 species